AGCUGGCAGAGUAAAGUCAACGUAAGAACGAUUGGGUUACAGCAAUACAGGAUCACGACGUUGAUUUACAGUGCAGUGGUGCUCUGAGUACUGAGGGCCAUCACUGACUGGCACUCAAGACGCGGAAUGCAUUCUGCCUUUGAGCGUUACUGAGGAGAGACACAAAGGACUACAGCCUAUGGCACAAGACUCCUAAGCCCAGGUCUCAGCUCCCCAGAUGGGCUCUACAGAACCUACUAAAGGACAUAACAUGUAGCCUGGUGAUUAGUAUUGGAUGCCUAUAUAUGUGUGCGUGUGAGUGCAUGCAUGUGUAUCUGUGUGAGGAGCUGGGAAUACAGCCCAGCAGUAAAAAACAUUUGGCCAGUGUGAGUAUAAUUAAGUUCAGUUUAGCAACAAACAAAUUAAAAAGGCAUAAGUACUAU
rnacentral:lncRNA from 1 species